AUUGAACGCUGGCGGCAUGCUUUACACAUGCAAGUCGAACGGCAGCGGGGGCUUCGGCCUGCCGGCGAGUGGCGAACGGGUGAGUAAUGCAUCGGAACGUGCCCAUGUCGUGGGGGAUAACGUAUCGAAAGGUACGCUAAUACCGCAUACGCCCUGAGGGGGAAAGCGGGGGAUUCUUCGGAACCUCGCGCGAUUGGAGCGGCCGAUGUCGGAUUAGCUAGUAGGUGAGGUAAAGGCUCACCUAGGCGACGAUCCGUAGCGGGUCUGAGAGGAUGAUCCGCCACACUGGGACUGAGACACGGCCCAGACUCCUACGGGAGGCAGCAGUGGGGAAUUUUGGACAAUGGGCGCAAGCCUGAUCCAGCCAUGCCGCGUGAGUGAAGAAGGCCUUCGGGUUGUAAACCUCUGUCAUGGGGAAGAAGGAAGUGACGGUACCCCAAGAGGAAGCCCCUGCUAACACGUG
rnacentral:rRNA from 1 species